GCGGCACGCCUAAUACAUGCAAGUCGAACGAGAAAGCACUUCGGUGUGAGUACAGUGGCGGACGGGUGAGUAACGCGUAGGAAUCUACCUAGUAGUGGGGGACAACUCGAGGAAACUCGAGCUAAUACCGCAUACGCUCUAUGGAGGAAAGUGGGGGAUCUUCGGACCUCACGCUAUUAGAGGAGCCUGCGUUAGAUUAGCUAGUUGGUGAGGUAAAGGCUCACCAAGGCUACGAUCUAUAGCUGGUCUGAGAGGACGAUCAGCCACACUGGAACUGAGACACGGUCCAGACUCCUACGGGAGGCAGCAGUAGGGAAUCUUGGGCAAUGGGCGAAAGCCUGACCCAGCGAUGCCGCGUGUGCGAAGAAGGCCUUAGGGUUGUAAAGCACUUUCAGUUGCGAAGAAAAGCUACGGUUUAAUAUGCCGUGGUCUUGACGUUAACAACAGAAGAAGUACCGGCUAACUCCGUGCCAGCAGCCGCGGUAAUACGGAGGGUACGAACGUUAAUCGGAAUUACUGGGCGUAAAGCGCGCGUAGGCGGUUUGAUAAGUGGGAUGUGAAAGCCCCGGGCUCAACCUGGGAACUGCAUUCCAAACUGUCAAACUAGAGUGUGGUAGAGGGAGGUAGAAUUUCCUGUGUAGCGGUGAAAUGCGUAGAUAUAGGAAGGAAUACCGAUGGCGAAGGCAGCCUCCUGGACCAACACUGA
rnacentral:rRNA from 1 species